AAUGAACGUUGGCGGCGUGGAUUAGGCAUGCAAGUCGAGCGAGAACCGUAGCAAUACGGGGACAGCGGCGAAAGGGACAGUAAUGUGUAGGUACCUACCCCUGGGCUCGGGAUAGCUGCGGGAAACUGCAGGUAAUACCGAAUAACGUCUCAGGACCAAAGGUGUGAUUCCACCUGGGGAGGGGCCUGCAUCCUAUUAGCUUGUUGGCGGGGUAAUGGCCCACCAAGGCAACGAUGGGUAGCGGGUGUGAGAGCACGACCCGCGUCAGUGGGACUGAGAUACUGCCCAGCCACCUACGGGUGGCUGCAGUCGAGGAUCUUCGGCAAUGGGCGAAAGCCUGACCGAGCGACGCCGCGUGCGGGAUGAAGGCCUUCGGGUUGUAAACCGCUGUCGUAGAGGAGGAAAUGCAGGGGGGUUCUCCCCUCUGUUUGACCUAUUCUAGGAGGAAGUACGGGCUAAGUUCGUGCCAGCCGCCGCCGUAAAAC
rnacentral:rRNA from 1 species